UACUGCUCAGUAACACGUGGUCAAUCUACCGCGGAAAGGCGCAUACCCUCGGGAAACUGAGGCUAAUUCGCCAUAGGCUACGGCACCUGGAAGGAGCUUUAGCCGAAAGGGGCGCAAAUUGCAGCGCUUCCGUUUCGCGAUGAGACUGCGGCGGAUCAGGCAGAUGGCGGGGUAACGGCCCACCAUACCGAUAACCUGUAGGGGAUAUGAGAGUAUAGGCCCCGAGAAGGGCACUGAGACAAGGGCCCUAGCGCUACGGCGUGCAGCAGGCGCGCAAACUCCACACUGGGCGGAAGCCUGAUGGGGGGAAUCUGAGCGGUUCACUUCGGUGAACCUUUUGCCAAGUAUAACAAGCUUGGCGAAUAAGUGCCGGGCAAGACCGGUGGCAGCCGCCACGGUAAUACCGGCGGCACAAGUGGUGUCCACGAUUAUUGGGCUUAAAGCGCUCGUAGCUGGCCGGAACCGUCUCAUGUGAAAUAUUGGCGCUCAACGUCAAUGCGUGCAUGAGAUACCUUCCGGCUGGGGAGUGGGUGAGGUCAGGGGUACUCAUGGGGAAGGGGUAAAAUCCUAUAAUCCUAUGAGGACCAACGGUGGCGAAGCGCCUGACUAGAACACAUCCGACAGUGAGGAGCGAAGCUAGGAGAACGAAUCGGAUUAGAUACCCGAGUAGCCCUAGCAGUAAAUUAUGCAGACUCUGAUGUUG
rnacentral:rRNA from 1 species